GGAGGAUCUUUUACAAAUCGCUGAUGACGUGUUUCGGGAAACUCGUCAUGGCAGCUCCUGAUUGGCUGAGAGCUUCAAAGAACAAGAGUCAAGAGUCAAGAGACCUCAAGGAAAUAUUUAGUUUCUGUUAAGCAGCGGCAAUGAUAAGACGUCACUGACAUCUUGCAUAGAUGAAUACAGAGAGCUGCUAGUUGUAUGCAGAAGGGCCCUUCUUGAUGUGUAUUGAAACCGGAAGCAACAAAGGUUACAUUGAGGAGCUGAGGAGGAGCAACUACGUUAAUGAAGACCACACACUCGAAGCCCCAUCUGCUCCCACUCUCACUUAACUGAAGAAGAGUCUUCUAUGGAGGGUAGGAAAGUUCCUCUCUCGUUUUCGGAAAAGAAAUCAUUGUCGAGGACGAGUCUUAACGAGCGUAAUGGCGGAAGCGAAAUGUAAAUUAAUGUCCAUGAUGAGGAACUGAGCCGAAGGAAACUGAACUUCAGAAAAUAUGAGAAGGAGAAAAUACGAAAAGGUCAGAGGUUAAAGAAAGGCAAUUCUGUCACUUGAGCUUUCAGUUAAGAACUGUAAACU